GAGUAUAGAGAUACUAUUAUGGCAUGUAGAUGGAAUGUAAGAGUACAUUCGCAUCGAAUUUGACUAUAUGUCGAGCACUCUGCUGUCAAGAGUAGCUUGUGAAGGGUAUGGGUAUAAGUAUCCCUCCGAUCUGAGACCACUAUGGUGACUUGUAAGCAACUCACUAUACUUUAGUACUGGACUAUCUGAAUUUUUAACUUAGUAACAGAAGGAUACAAGGUGCAGUCAAGUACUUAUCAAGUUGGUGUGUGAGUCAAGAUGGAAUUGACCCCUCUG
rnacentral:lncRNA from 1 species